rnacentral:piRNA from 1 species
UCUCACAUGCUCUGCUAACCUGUCAACCA